rnacentral:lncRNA from 1 species
GUUUUGUUAUCUUAAGAAACUUAAGAAAUUUAUCCAUUAGAGAAAGUUGGUCCGAGUGUUAAGACACGAGACGAAAAAGUCUUAUGCAAAGUACCGCCAAGGCCGAGGAAGAGCCGCUAGGGAAAACGCUGGACUUUUGGUCGUCCUGAGUUGUCAUUAUCCGCAACCUAAUAAUGGAGAAAUUUAUUAAGAAUCUAACAGAUACCACA